GCAAGACCUUGACUUUUUGUCAUCCUUGUUGGUACUUUCUCCUUUGGGAUAGAUUGGAAGUGACAUGGUGUCUUUCUUAACUAUUGCGGGGGGCCUGCAGAUGACUAAUGAAGCCCUAGAUGGGCCCCCCCAACUAGCAUAGGCCAAUUGACCUCACCCUGGCCUAGUCAUUUGGAAUCCCACAUCAACUGCCAAAAAGCAAUCCGUUAAUAAAUAAGAAGAAGAAGAAAGUAUGAGUUACAGAGCAUUCAUUAAAAGCCAGGCCUUAUAAUCAAGCAAGCUACUGAAAGCUAAUUUGGAAAACUGCCAAGGGCACUGUACCUGGACUCACAGACUCAGCUUCAAGUGUUUGUUACUGUGACAAAUAGAGAGAAGCCAUCCACAGACUCAGGGGCAGACUGGCAACAUCAAAACAGAUGAUGCACCAUCUUAAAAUGCGCUUGCCUGCCAUCCAGCGCGGCCCUUUUUGUCACAUAUGAAGAACUAUAUGCUGAUUGACACUUGUUGACUUGAAGGAACGGCUGAGAGUGAUUUGCCAAGUCCUCCAGAGACUGGUUCUACCCACUGUAUCGCAGGAAGGAAUCUGAGGUUGGAGCGCAUCCCCAGACUGCUAUUCUGAGCCACCUCGUCCAGUUGAGAAGACUGCCAUCUCUAGGAUGGCAUAUGAGCUGGAUGCUUUUUCACUUGCACGUCUCUGGACUUUUUUCAGCCUUAGGUCUCUCCUAAGCAGGAAAAUUCCAGUUUUGCCAAUCUGCGUUUUGGCGAUAUGGACUACCAUCUACCUGUGUGGGGCUGAGAUCAUAAAACUCCUUUUACUGGCAAUACGAUGUGGAUUGGAACGGAGGUCAUAAGGUAAAUAGCCAGUGCCUUAUCCUCUCAGCCAAGCCCUUGAUAAGGGGCGUUCUUUGAUGUUGAGAACGAUAGUUGGCUUUUCAGAACUUAUAUCCAAAACUGUAAUACAUAAUGCAUUUGCUUUCAUCGUACAGCUGCUGAUACAUGGUUGAAGGUUAAUUUAAAGAUUACUUAAUGAGAAGAGCUACUUUAAGUCAAUCAAAUGCUUUAGAAAGCAAAAAUGA